GUUUAAUUUUUUUUUUGUUCCUUUCACCUUGCAGUUACUUGGAUAAAAUGUUACAUUCAAAGAUUAUAAAAGAGUUUGUAUAACAAAAACAAGGGAAGGGGGGGGGAAAAAGCAGAAAGAGAACUAAAUCCCAGUCUUUUCUUCUCAGAUCCCCCCUCCUCUCAUUCUUAUAGUUGUGCACAGGUGUAUGUAUUGGAUUUGUCAGAGGCAACGAGACACAUGCAUUAGAAAAAAUGCCAGCUCUGAAGACCUCCUUCAAUUCGUUAAUGAUCCUUCCGCAGGUUCACCUACGGAAA
rnacentral:misc_RNA from 1 species